rnacentral:rRNA from 1 species
AACGAACGCUGGCGGCAGGCUUAACACAUGCAAGUCGAACGCAUCCUUCGGGGUGAGUGGCAGACGGGUGAGUAACGCGUGGGAACGUGCCCUCCAGUUCGGGAUAACCCAGGGAAACUUGGGCUAAUACCGGAUACGUGCGAGAGCAGAAAGAUUUAUCGCUGAAGGAUCGGCCCGCGUCUGAUUAGCUAGUUGGUGGGGUAAUGGCCCACCAAGGCGACGAUCAGUAGCUGGUCUGAGAGGAUGAUCAGCCACAUUGGGACUGAGACACAGCCCAAACUCCUACGGGAGGCAGCAGUGGGGAAUAUUGGACAAUGGGCGCAAGCCUGAUCCAGCCAUGCCGCGUGAGUGAUGAAGGCCUUAGGGUUGUAAAGCUCUUUCGUCCGGGACGAUAAUGACGGUACCGGAAGAAGAAGCCCCGGCUAACUUCGUGCCAGCAGCCGCCGUAA